UAUUGCACGAUGGGGGAAACCCUGAUGCAGCGACGCCGCGUGAGCGAUGAAGUAUUUCGGUAUGUAAACUUCUAUCAACAGGGACGAAAGAAAUGACGGUACCUGAAUAAGAAGCCCCGGCUAACUACGUGCCAGCAGCCGCGGUAAUACGUAGGGGGCAAGCGUUAUCCGGAAUUACUGGGUGUAAAGGGUGAGUAGGCGGCAUGGUAAGCCAGAUGUGAAAGCCUUGGGCUUAACCCGAGGAUUGCAUUUGGAACUAUCAAGCUAGAGUACAGGAGAGGAAAGCGGAAUUCCUAGUGUAGCGGUGAAAUGCGUAGAUAUUAGGAAGAACACCAGUGGCGAAGGCGGCUUUCUGGACUGAAACUGACGCUGAGGCACGAAAGCGUGGGGAGCGA
rnacentral:rRNA from 1 species